ensembl:miRNA gmo-mir-124-4 gmo-mir-124-4
UGUGUUCACAGCGGACCUUGAUUUAAUACCCAAUACAAUUAAGGCACGCGGUGAAUGCCA